GACGGAAGGUGCAAGCGUUGCUCGGAAUCACUGGGCGUAAAGGGUGCGUAGGCGGCCGUGCAAGUCUGGCGUGAAAGCCCCGGGCUCAGCCCGGGAAGUGCGCUCGAAACUGCGCGGCUCGAGUGCCGGAGGGGAGAGUGGAAUUCCUGGUGUAGCGGUGAAAUGCGUAGAUAUCAGGAGGAAUACCGGUGGCGAAAGCGACUCUCUGGACGGCAACUGACGCUGAACGGCGAAAGCUAGGGGAGCAAACGGG
rnacentral:rRNA from 1 species